UACUUACCAUUUUGGAAACACAGUAUCCGUAUCAUCCAGAGUCUGAGUCCACUGUGAUGCCUUUUGCCGCUUCACUCCAGAACUUCUUGUCACGUGCCAGGCCAAAUGCGUCUUCAUAUGUGUAUUUUGACGAAAAUGCACGAAUAAAAUGUUUCCUGUAUGUGCUAAAAGCUAUGUUUGGCGUAUAGGAAAAAACUUUCCAGAUAUUUGUCUUUACCUUUUGCAGGUAACACGGUCCAGACGCACCUGUGCAUGAUAACUCAGACCCAACAAACAUCUUGAACCUACAGCACUCACUGUUUUGCUACUUUCUUUUCCCUGAGGUCCACUUGCAGAGAAUAACAUGCAGAGCUGUAGGUGCUACACACAGCCAGAAACAGCACAAGACUUCAUGAUUUUUUAAGGAAUAACAGCAUCUGGCCGGCUUUCUUCUCUUUAUCUUUGUGGAUUGGCGGAAGAAGUUUCUGAACAACUAGCAAGGAGUGUCUGACAUCAGAAGUUCACUAAAUAAUGGUCUUGUUUCAGUAAAUGUUCUUACUGGACAUGGGGACGUUUUCUCUUCUUGAAGUUCCAGUGCCUUUUAUCUCAAAAGAUCAAGGAUUCUAGGCAAGGAUCGAGCCUUAGAACCUAAUGCCCGUCAACUUGCUCCCAGCACCAAUUUGUCAGUAGAAGGACUUUCUAAAACAGAGCUAUUCAUAUCGCCAUAACUCUUUCUCUCUCUAGGAGUAAUAGCACAGCCAUUGUUUGACUGAAAAUACUUAUUUUACAUUGUCUGGCCUGUUAUGUUGUCUGCUGCCCUGAUGUGAACCCCUGGGAGGGUGUCAAUGAUCUUACUCUGAUGUAAAGGCACUCAUGGUGCAUUAUGUAAGAGACUUGAUGAGUGGCAAUUUAAUUAGUGCAGCUGAAGCUGAUGGACAGCCACUUUUGCAUGGGUUUUGGUCUGAAUCUGACAUGGUGAGAGAGCAAGAUGGGCGUGAAAUACUUACGAGAUGGCUGAGGAUCGAUAGUGAAAAACAGACAUGAUUAUACAUAGAAAA